GGGGGUAUAGCUCAGUGGCAGAGUAUAUGCUUAGCAUGCACAAGGGUCCUGGGUUCAAUCUCCAGUACCGCCA
rnacentral:tRNA from 1 species